CAUCCAUCCUGUGUCCCUGCCAACCUACACUAUAGAGGGGAUGGCGGAGGAGCUUAAACUAGGAAUUUGUCUGCUGGGUGCCCAUCAGUUAUGACUAAGGAAUUCACGACUCUGACGAACGUGGCCAUGGACUUCACCCUGGAGGAUUGGGAGGACCUGGGGCUGGACCAUAGGGACGUGUUCUGGGACACAGCUUUGGACAACUACCAGAACCUCUUCCUACUGAAUCCUCCCAGCGCCAACCCGACUAUCCAUCCACCUGAUGGAAAAGAAG